rnacentral:rRNA from 1 species
AUGUCAGCGGUUCGAGUCCGCUUAUCUCCAGCCCGUGAACUUAGCGGAUACUAUGAUAGCGAUAGCACCGAAUUUUGCCAAUUCGGCAGUUCGAUCUAUGAUUUCACAUUCAUGGACGUUGAUAAGAUCCUUCCAUUUAGUAGCACCUUAGGAUGGCAUAGCCUUAACUUUAAUGGCGAGGUUCAAAAGAGGAAAGGCUUGCGGUGGAUACCUAGGCACCCAGAGAUGAGGAAGGGUGAGUGGCCAAGUCAGGGCGGGUCACCAGUGAGUCACCAAGUCCGGCUGGGUCAUACCGUGGGGUAUAUCCCCGACAUUAGCCCCAGUUUAAUUUGGAUUUAUCCAUGUUAG